AGUGAACGCUGGCGGUAGGCCUAACACAUGCAAGUCGAACGGCAGCACAGUAAGAGCUUGCUCUUACGGGUGGCGAGUGGCGGACGGGUGAGGAAUACAUCGGAAUCUACUUUUUCGUGGGGGAUAACGUAGGGAAACUUACGCUAAUACCGCAUACGACCUACGGGUGAAAGCAGGGGAUCUUCGGACCUUGCGCGAUUGAAUGAGCCGAUGUCGGAUUAGCUAGUUGGCGGGGUAAAGGCCCACCAAGGCGACGAUCCGUAGCUGGUCUGAGAGGAUGAUCAGCCACACUGGAACUGAGACACGGUCCAGACUCCUACGGGAGGCAGCAGUGGGGAAUAUUGGACAAUGGGCGCAAGCCGGAUCCAGCCAUACCGCGUGGGUGAGGAAGGCCUUCGGGUUGUAAAGCCCUUUUGUUGGGAAAGAAAAGCAGCAGGUUAAUACCCCGCUGUUCUGACGGUACCCAAAGAAUAAGCACCGGCUAACUUCGUG
rnacentral:rRNA from 1 species